rnacentral:lncRNA from 1 species
AUACAAUGGGAUAAGUGUGUUAUAUGUCAAGGUUCUUUUACUGAAUUGCUUAUUAAUAAUUGAGUAAUAAGCACAAACAAAAGCUUUAUCGAGGCUAUGGGAGCACGGAAAUAUUUGAGUUUAUUGCCUGAUGCUUCAGACCUAGACCAUUUUCGUACUUAUGAUUACAAAAUGUUGUAGCACCAUUCUUGCUACAAAUCUAAGACUAGC